rnacentral:rRNA from 1 species
GUGUCAGCCGCCGCGGUAAUACGGAGGGUGCAAGCGUUAUCCGGAUUCACUGGGUUUAAAGGGUGCGUAGGCGGAUUGAUAAGUCAGUGGUGAAAUCCCCGAGCUUAACUUGGGAACUGCCAUUGAUACUAUUGGUCUUGAAUACCGUGGAGGUCGACGGAAUAUGUCAUGUAGCGGUGAAAUGCUUAGAUAUGACAUAGAACACCAAUUGCGAAGGCAGUUGACUACGCGAGUAUUGACGCUGAGGCACGAAAGCGUGGGGAUCAAACAGGAUUAGAUACCCCCGUAGUCC